GUUAAUUUUAAUGAGAAGAAAUUUAAUGAUUAUUGUCAUAUACUGAUAAAGCUUAAAAGAUUGUGCUAAUGAAUGGUAAAAAUAUGGAUCCCUGGAGAGACUGUCUCGGUGUUCUUACCCCUUCUCUGUGUGGCCCGCUUUAGAAGGAAGCCCUGAGUUGGUGUAAGAAGUCCCUCGGACCCAGGCUUCCUGUGAACCCUCUGUGUCAUCUCCAAGAUCAUCGCGAGUCAGAGCUCAAAUAGAAUCUACACACUUACUCAUUUUCAGUUUUUUAAAAAAACAGUGUCAAUGAAAUGCAUAAUUGAUGGUUUUCACAGUAGAUUAGAAAAACGAAAGAAAGCAAAAGAGCAAUAGAUAUUUUCUUUAUUUCAUUUUAAUUGAUACAUAAAACAUAAAAAUUAUACAUGAUGAUUAGGUGCCAAGCCCUGCUCUGAUAUAUGUAUCCAUAGUGUCAUGUUUAUAAUAGGUUAAAUAUGAAUCUUCCCAAUUAUCUUUUACAUGGAUCACACAUUUAACAUCAAUUUCUGUGACUUUUCUAGAGACACAUUGCAUCGUUGUUCCCUUUGUCACCUGAGUGUGCCACACCACAGCGGGACUUCGGUCUCUCCCCUCCUCGCUGCCCUCCUCACUAUCUGUCCCCAUUCCACCCUUACCAGAUAAUGUCCAGUUCCAUCCCUGUUAUAAAUUAUAAGAGUUUAUCAUUUUUAUGGCUGAGUAAUAUAUGACAAGGGGGAAUACUUAUAGUACAUUAGGGACCUUAACUCAGUAGCAAAAAAGAAACACAUGAGCUGAAUUAAACAAUGGGCAGUAUACCUAUGUCUCAAAGGAAGACAUACAGAUGACCAAAAUGUAUAUGAAAACAAUCUCAACACCACUAAUCAUGAAGGAAAUAGACAUCAAAACCACCAGGAGAUAUCACCUCACUCGAGUAAACAUGAGCAUUAGGAAAAAGAGGAAAGAUCACAAGUGUUGGAGAGGAGGUGGAAACAGGUGACUCUUGCCUGCCAUUGGUGAAAGGUGCUUUACUGCACUGUGUGAGCAGUGUAGAAGCUCCUUAUACAUUAAAGGUCGACCUGUUUUAUGGGCCACCUGGUCUAGCACUGGAUAUAAAUGCUGUAGACAGUAUACUGAUGUCUCUAAGGACACCUGUCCUCCUGUGCUUACUGCAGCACUGUUCACAUUCUCCAACAUAGAGAGCCAUUUUCUGAAUCCAUUAAGCCUCCAUUGGCUGAUGAAUGGAUAAAGAAAAUGAAGUUGUUAUGUACAGUGCAAUACUAAUCAGCCAUAUAAAUUACAAGAAUGAAAGUUGCUAAUGCCUAAUGAUGAAUUCAAUGGAGAACAUUAUGAUUGUUAAUUGAUCAUGAGCCAUGUAGAGGCUGAUUAAUGAAAGACAUAUAGUCUCGUGUGCAGUAGAGGUCUCUAGACUGAAGUUUGAUUUGUUAGGCUAUUGGGAACCAUCUUGUUAUUUUAUUACUAUGUAUUAAUAGCUUAGUCAAAAAAUGUAGAAAUAUAUGAAAUUUAGGCAAAUUAGUGUCACAUGUGUCCUUCACAGAAGAAAACAUUUCUGUCCCACAAAAGUAAUGUUACAUGGCAGGUGUGUGCACACCUGUAAUCUCAGCACUUAGGAAGCUGAGUUAGGAGGAUAGAGAAUUCUAACCAUGGGGGUCUGGGAUUUAACUCAAUAGUUCCGCCGCCUGCCCUGCAAGCGCAAGGACCUGAGUUUGAUUCUCGGUACCAAAAAAAAAGAAAAUAGAGAAUUCCAACCAGUUCAUGCUACAUAGUGAGUUCAAGACCAGCCUAAUGGAAAUAUUUGGUAACACCCUGUCUCAAAAAAUAAAAUACCCUAAAAAGUAAAAAGUGAUGUACACCAUUUUUUUGGUAGAAGUUCCUCUUCACGUACUUAGAACUACCCAAGGAUCAUGAUUUUCACAUUUAUGUCUGUACAUUUUGCUUCUGUUAUUAUAAUUAAAUUGAAUCAAACAAUUAUUAACAAAGCAUUAUUUAAUUACAAAAAUAUAUGAGCAAUGAAGGAAUGCUGUUACUGAAGUCCACUUAGCAAUAGUGUUCCAUGACUGUUUUUCCUUUGGCUAAGGAGGACAUAGGUAGUGUUGGUCUCAGAUAAUGCUCAUUCUCUUGGUAUGUGACAAUCAUGAAUUUGUUUAUUUCUUAAGAGAAAAAAAUAUUUACUUUCAAAUGAAAUGUGAAAUCCAAGGCUUCAUGGAAUAAAUGUCUCAGUUUUUUCUUUCUUUUUUUUAAUCUGUUGUACUCUAUGGUCCUGCCACUCCACUUCUUUGAGCUGAGGAAGAAUUCUUCAAGGUCAGCACUCAAUGCUGCUUCUCUAUAAGGAGCCUGGGAUCAAUAAUGGAUGCUCCUGAGGGCUUCUCAUUCCUCCAGGGUCAGCCAGGGACAGUUUCCUCACUGUGCUACAACUGGGGACCAAUAAUGGAUGCUAUCUAUGUGAUUUAUGCGCUCUACAGAAGUCCGUUGCCUGCCUCUCUGGAUGAUACCUUGAACCAUUCUGGUGUAAGAAUUCUGCCAGGAUUACAACUUUGUAGGACACCGUUGAGGCUGGAAAGAAACCACUGUGGCUUUGCUCUGGACAACUCCGAAUGGACUCAGGACGAUUUCAACAUUCUUCCAAGGGCUCCUAUUCUACGGUUACUCAGAAUCUCAUAAUGUGCCUCCUGGAGCGUGAGGGCUGCAGCUGUAUCUGAGAGUUAGGAGCAUGACAGCUAAGAGCAGAUGUGUUGUGGGGCUCGAGGAGGAACUCCCGGGGUCAGGUGCCCUGUCUGGACCUUCGGGCAAGGAGCAGUGAGAGCAGUGUAAGUAGUGGUCACUAUUCUUCUUUCGGCUUGUGUUGGCUGCUUCAGAGCGUUCAGUGUGCUACUACAAAGUGUAUCGUGUAAUCAGUGAUGGUCGUUGUGUCCCUAUGACAGAUAGAGAGCUUACAUGAAGUGUGCCUUUGACAGUGCAUAAGCAAAC